GACGAACGCUGGCGGCGUGCUUAACACAUGCAAGUCGAGCGGUAAGGCCCUUUCGGGGGUACACGAGCGGCGAACGGGUGAGUAACACGUGGGUGACCUGCCCUCAGCUCUGGGAUAAGCCUGGGAAACCGGGUCUAAUACCGGAUAUGACUCCAUGACGCAUGUUGUGGGGUGGAAAGCCUUGUGCGGCUGAGGAUGGGCCCGCGGCCUAUCAGCUUGUUGGUGGGGUGANGGCCUACCAAGGCGACGACGGGUAGCCGGCCUGAGAGGGCGACCGGCCACACUGGGACUGAGACACGGCCCAGACUCCUACGGGAGGCAGCAGUGGGGAAUCUUGCGCAAUGGGCGAAAGCCUGACGCAGCGACGCCGCGUGAGGGAUGACGG
rnacentral:rRNA from 1 species